rnacentral:rRNA from 1 species
AAGGGGACUGCCAGCGACAAGUUGGAGGAAGGAGAGGAUGACGUCAAGUCAUCAUGGCCUUUAUGCCUAGGGCCACACACGUGCAACAAUGGCCGGUACAGACGGAGGCAAUGCCGAGAGGCGGAGCAAACCCGAGAAAACCGGUCCCAGUUCGGAUUGAGGUCUGCAACUCGACCUCAUGAAGUCGGAAUCGCUAGUAAUCGCAUAUCAGAACGAUGCGGUGAAUACGUUCCCGGGCCUUGUACACACCGCCCGUCACACCACGAAAGUUUGUUGUACCCGAAGUCGGUGCCUUAACCUCGCAAGAGGAGAGAGCCGCCCAAGGUAUGGCCGAUGAUUGGGGUGAAGUCGUAACAAGGUAGCCGUAGGGGAACCUGCGGCUGGAUCACC